rnacentral:lncRNA from 1 species
AAAAAUACCCCUUAAAAAGCUAGUAUAAACUCGAAUUGGCAUGUAGAGUGAAAAUUUGGAGGAUGUUUUACUGUGUGUGUGCAUUAGUGGGGAGGUGCGCUGCUGUGGUGUGGAUGUGGACGUGAGAGGAAAAAUCUGGAGUCUGUUCUCGCUCUACCUUUGUGUGGGUUCUGGGGAGUCACGGUCAGGUUACCAGCUCACAUGGCGAGUGCCUUUACCCACUGAGCUAUCUCACGGCUUUAUGUUUUGAGAUAAUCUUGCUAUGUAACCCAGGCUAGCUUCAAAUUUGCCGUCAUUCUUCCUCAGCCUUCCCAGUGGUGGGAUUCUAGGCCUGCGCCACUGUGCUCAACCACAAAGUUCUUCAGAGGCAUGUUAGUCAUUUCGGUCAGUUGAGGGUUUUUUGUUUGUUUAUAUCAGCUUUUGUUUGUUUUUUUAUUCGGUUUUUUUUUUCAAGACAGGGUUUUUCCUGGCUGUUCUCGGAUGCCCUCUGUAAAACCAAGCUGGCCUUGAAUUCACAGAGAUCUUCUGCCUCUGCCUCCUGAGUACUGCGAUCAAAAAAAAAAAAAAAAGGUGUGCGCCACCACCGCCUGGCUUUAAUUGAGAAUUUUAAGGCAACUUUAACCUAAGCUCAGGCUCAACACCCUUCCUGCCCCCAUCCAGCCAUUACGAGAGAUGAAUGAGCACAGUACACAGAACAGAAGAGCCAGGCAGCGGUGGCUCACGCCUUUAAUCCCAGCACUCAGGAGCCGGAGGCAGGCGGAUCUCCGAGUUCAAGGCCAGCCUGGUCUACAGAGAGAGAGUUUCAGGACAGCCAGGGCUACACAGAGAAACCCUGUCUCAAAAAAAAGGAAAACAGAACAAAGAGGACAGACGAGGGGACACUGACAUGAGUCUUCCAUGUAAACUGAAUUAGGUAGGGGCAAGUGGUGUGCGUAAUUCAGUAGUCCUGGUCCAUUGUGGUCUGCCUGACCAUUACCUUGGUUCUGGUUCUGCAUGGUGGAGAGAAGCCAGUGUCAGGGUGAUCUGGGAGGGUGAUCUGUCUGGGUUUUAGGACGACUGGAGACCUUGAAGGAUAUGGUGGUAUUCCUGCCACCAUAUGCUUUUCAUUAAACAUCUCUUUUUUUCAGCCUGAAUAAAAAGUCUUGGCCGUACAAGGUGAGAGCUCUGCUGGUGUUUGGACAUGUCGUGGUAAAUGUGGCGUCUACAGCCACAUCCCUCUAUGU